UAAGACUGAUCUUUAAUACUAUUUUUACUAUUGCUGAAACCAAAUUACGUCAGUAUAUUAUUUGCUACAUAAGUUGUUGCGAUCCAUCUUUUUUGCCAGAUUGUCUAUUUUCUCUGUGUCGUCCGAAUUAAUUUGUUUUCUAGACCGUCGAUCUGAUUCUGAUCAUGAUUUUUUUUAUACUUUCGAAACUCAACAUGAAUUACAUCAUAUCAUAAUUGCUUAAUUUCAGAUUUUAUGAAAUCAAUGUAAUACUUAUCUGGAAAAUUACAAUUAGAGAUAAAGAAAAUUACAAAAUGUUUUGCAUUGUAGAUAAAGACUGUAUUUAGAUAAACUUAGGUACAUAUAUAUGGAUUUGGUUAUACGGUCUUCAUAAAAACGAUAACUGAAGAAUAUGUCGAUAUUCGUAAAAAAAUAUUAAAAAAAAAAUAGUUGUCAAGAAAUAUCCACUUAUAUAAAAGAAAGAAAGUUUAAUAUUCUUUUUUUAGUUUAAAUCAACACAAAAAUCCAGAAAUAUGUGGAAGUUAUUUGGUAUUGUUUUCAUACAGAUGCUUAUAAUAGAUAACAUCUCCGCACAAUAUCCAGCUACAAGCCUUUACCCAACACAGCCUCAAACAAGAGUUUUAAAUCAAAAGCAAAACAUUCUAGCACCUCUACUUAUGUCCUUCCUGAACAAGGCACCAAUGCCAGAGAAAAUUGAAACAGUGGCCAAUGCCAUAAACAGGAUGCCUCCCAGGAUGGUGAGCAGAAAAACAAAAGGCACGAAAUGGCGGACUUUUGAAACAAUCCGCCCUGCAGAGUUUGAUGGUGGCUGCUAAUGCUUGCAAAGUUUGUAAUAAGGAGUCACCAGUCGAAGUUCUGCCUAUGAGAAAUCCUGUGCCACGAGGUGUCGACAUGCCGCGGUUAAUGCAAUAUUUGUAAUUAGUAAUUUUAGUGUAACUAUUUAUUGUUUUAUAUAUUAAAUGAUUUUAUACAAUUCGUA